UAACUUCAUUUGAUCUGCUAUUUAAAAGAAGCAGAGGCAGAUGCUGAACAUAGUUAAAUAAUUCAGAAAGGUUAAUAACUAGAUACAGAAAGAAAUUGUUUUCAGAGACAAAAAUGAUGGAAGAGGUAUAUGCAACAUGAUUAUUUGAAAAGACAUUGUUGAACAGACCUUCUUAAUUCAGCUGUUGGUUGAACCCACAGUGACAUGGGCCAAAAAUGCUGACAAGAGUGGUUAAAGUAUGCAAACAUCUAUAGGAAACAAAGCAUGAAGAUGAAUGCAAGACAGAAAGCAUAACUCCACCACAGAUGUAACAAUGCAUCUGGGAGGUCUAAACAUCAUACACUUGAGAAGACUAGUAUCCUAAGUGCUGAGAAAAAAAAAGUGAAGCCUGGAUAUAAAACUAAUAGAGGCAAUCAAUGGAUGAAAAUGUAGACAGAAAAGCUCUAAAAUGCCACUUAUACCAUAGCAAACCAAUGGAAAAGAUGCAGGAAAUUGCAAAGGUGAAGAGCAAGACUGAAAUGGAUGAAACGGUUGUUAAAAAAACUCUAAAAUAUACCUCAAGACAUCUAGAAUACCCAUGUCUUCUCCUCCACAGUUAUUAGAGUGCAAUCUUGCACAUAUGAUGUGUUGAAUGAAAAUAAUUAAAAAUUGAAGAUAAUACAUAA